rnacentral:rRNA from 1 species
AACCCUGAUCCAGCCAUGCCGCGUGCGGGAAGAAGGCCUUCGGGUUGUAAACCGCUUUUGUCGGGGAAGAAACGCUUCGAGCUAAUACCUCGAGGUAAUGACGGUACCCGAAGAAUAAGCACCGGCUAACUACGUGCCAGCAGCCGCGGUAAUACGUAGGGUGCAAGCGUUAAUCGGAAUUACUGGGCGUAAAGCGUGCGCAGGCGGUCGUGCAAGACAGAUGUGAAAUCCCCGGGCUCAACCUGGGAACUGCAUUUGUGACUGCACGGCUGGAGUGCGGCAGAGGGGGAUGGAAUUCCGCGUGUAGCAGUGAAAUGCGUAGAUAUGCGGAGGAACACCGAUGGCGAAGGCAAUCCCCUGGGCCUGCACUGACGCUCAUGCACGAAAGCGUGGGGAGCAAACAGGAUUAGAUACCCUGGUAGUCCACGCCCUAAACGAUGUCAACUGGUUGUUGGGAAGGUUCCUUCUCAGUAACGUAGCUAACGCGUGAAGUGACCGCC